AAUAAAGAAUAUAGACAAUUAUUCUAGGUGUGAGGAAAAAGUAAACUCACAACUCAUCAUGUAUUUAUACAAUUGAAUCGAAAAUCUGAGAUAUAUGUGGGGGAAAUGAAUAAAUACAAAUGCACAAGGUUAGAUUGGACAUCGAUCAUUCCCCCGUCUUCAAGUAUUUUUAGCCACCUCCUCCAAUAAUCGCCUUUGGACCAUUCUAGCUAUAAACUAAUGCUGAACUAGCGUUCAAAAAUGCAACCAAAUGCAAUAAUAUCAGCCACUCAAGUUCAAGCAACUCAAAACAAUUCAUGACACAAAUCACAGCCUUUGGGUUAGUCUUUGAGGUUCAGGCAUAUUGAGCCAUCCUAUGUCUACUAAUUGAUUGAUUUUAGCUGUUGAUACUUGGCCAUUUAUUAUGUUCAUAAGCAAUGGUCAAGGUCGAAUCACUCCUAAAUUUAAGUCUAAGUGUAGCCCUUUCUUUUACCCCACGAAUAUGCACUUAGGCCACGAGACUUUGGUUCUCAAGCAAUCAUCCAAAGAAAGUGAACCAAAGAGGGUCAUUUAUUCAUUCAAAGCAAUUACAAUCAUCCAAGUAUGUAAACAACAUAGCCAAUCAAAUAAAAUGAAAACAACGCAUUUCAAAUGGUUGAACUUUAAAAAUUUGCAACUAAGGACACAAGUUUUGAAUAAUUGCAAACAAAUCCUCAAAAAGAGAUUUUCACAUUUUGAAUGAGAUAAAACAAGGACAUCAACUUUGUUGGAA
rnacentral:lncRNA from 1 species